rnacentral:rRNA from 1 species
AACGAACGCUGGCGGCAUGCCUAACACAUGCAAGUCGAACGAGAUCCUUCGGGGUCUAGUGGCGCACGGGUGCGUAACGCGUGGGAAUCUGCCCUUAGGUUCGGAAUAACAGUUAGAAAUGACUGCUAAUACCGGAUGAUGACGUUAAGUCCAAAGAUUUAUCGCCUGAGGAUGAGCCCGCGUAGGAUUAGCUAGUUGGUGUGGUAAAGGCGCACCAAGGCGACGAUCCUUAGCUGGUCUGAGAGGAUGAUCAGCCACACUGGGACUGAGACACGGCCCAGACUCCUACGGGAGGCAGCAGUGGGGAAUAUUGGACAAUGGGCGCAAGCCUGAUCCAGCAAUGCCGCGUGAGUGAUGAAGGCCUUAGGGUUGUAAAGCUCUUUUACCCGGGAUGAUAACGACAGUACCGGGAGAAUAAGCCCCGGCUAACUCCGUG